AAACGUGGCCCAGAUCAGUGGUAAUGGUUCAAAAGUCCAUGACACUUUUGCCAGCUAUUGAACUCACUAUUCAAUAGUUUCAAGAAUGUUCCAGAAUACAUCAUUGCAGGUGUGCGUAAAAUCUAGGACAGAGAUAACUGACCUUUCAGGGAUAUCUGUGUAGCUCAAACUGGACUGGCUAAACAGUCUCCCCAUGGUGUUACCAUUCCUCCGCGUGUGUGUAGGUAUAUACACACUUACAUAUAAAUAUGGUGCAGACACAUGUAUCUCUAUGGAAAUAUUCUCCAGCGCACGGCUGUCAGGCUACCUGUAAUAGCCUCCCCCACCUGGUUGGACCUCCUACACUGAGACAGGUGAAGGGAGAAGCCAUCAAAAGCAAUAGUCACUUUCUCCUCGAGUCUCAGAACUUAAGUCUUUACUAAGAUGUAUGUUUCUAGUUGUAGGGCCUUGUUACAAAAUUCUUUCACGUUAAUUUUAGUCCACUUUAUUCUGUAAUCAUAGAAGACCUCUGACCGAUACAUUUGUGAAACAAUUCUGAUAUGCUGAAGACAGUAAUGACAUCUGUCCGAUUAAUUGUUUUUAACCUUUCCAGAUCACCCAUGUGAUAUAAGCUAAUGAUUCAAUUUGACAUCUGUGGGCCUAUCAUUCAUGCAUUCACAUAGAGGCUGCUGGUCAUCCAACAAAUGCUCACCGGGUGGAUGCUAGGUUUCGCCUUACGAUUUUCGCCAGAAGAGAAGUUCUCCCAUUUUUACACCCAGCAUUGCUGUGAAUCAUGCUACAUUAAAAAUGAAAGUUUGUACUCAUGGCAACUGACAGUGCUGAGAAAUAGAAACACAAUCCUCUAUGAAAACCGCAUGAGACCAACAGCGCCCCUCCAGAAAGCUCUUUAAAGAAAACUGGUCCUGCCAUUUACUGGGGCCGAAACAUGCACCAAAGCUUCCCUUCUUGGAGUCACAGCCAACUGAAAGAAGUGGCUUCCGUGGGGAGGACACAGUGAGGGGGAAUCACCAAGCUCCCAGGAAGGAGGCCUAGGUGAAUCCUUCAGACCUUUGGAACUGCCAGUUCCACAUCUGUGGGGAGGGAGCACUAGACCAGGUCUCCGAAGAUCACGUCUACCUGCACCAUUUGGAAAUUCUAGAGUAACUUGGCCGUUGGAGAACACCUGCCUAACUUUCUCUCCUGACCCUCUUGGUCCAUUCCCCCUCCAGCAUCAGAACCGCCAGCGCUGCACCAGCCUCACCUCUUCGCUCUCCCACCAGGGAGGGGUUGACUCUGAAAAUGCUCAGUGACUCCUGCAGAUCCCAGCAGGACAGGGACAGAGACCUCAGCCUCACCCUCAGCCCCAAAUCCAUCCCUGAAAAGCUGAUGCCCUUUCCUCUCUCUGGACUCCUUUUCCAUCCUAAAGCUGAAAUGCUCAGCAAGGAAACAAUUCUUUUCGAGAAUUUAAUAGCAAAAUAAAGUCCAGUCCAGAGAUCA
rnacentral:lncRNA from 12 species